rnacentral:rRNA from 1 species
UACGGGGGGGGUAAGCGUUGUUCGGAAUUACUGGGCGUAAAGCGCGUGUAGGCGGCUUAUCAAGUCCUGUGUGAAAGCCCUGGGCUUAACCCCGGGACUGCAUUCGAUACUGUCAGGUUAGAGGUAGGUAGGGGAGAUCGGAAUUCCUGGUGUAGCGGUGAAAUGACGCAGAUAUCAGGAGGAAUACCGGUGGCGAAAGCGACUCUCUGGACGGCAACUGACGCUGAGGCACGAAAGCGUGGGGAGCAAACAGG